GCUAUCUGCCCACUGAUAUAUAUAUAUAUUAAAUGGCCGCAGUAUUUUAACUGUGCAAAGGUAGCAUAAUCAUUAGUCUUUUAAUUGAGGGCUUGUAUGAAUGGUUUGACAAGACAUAUAUUGUUUCAUGAAAAUUUAUAAAAUUUUAUUUUUUAGUUAAAAAGCUAAGAUUUUAUUAAAAGACGAGAAGACCCUAUAGAUCUUUAUAAUUGUUAAAUUUUAUCUGUAAAGUAUAGGUUGGGUAUAAUUUAUAAUAUUAUUUUAUUGGGGUGAUAGUAAGAUUAAAUUAACUCUUAUAUUUUAUAGGUCAUAAAUUAAUGAUUAAUUGAUCCAUUAUUAUUGAUUAUUAAAAUAAGUUACCUUAGGGAUAACAGCGUAAUUUUUUUGGAGAGUUCAUAUCGAUAAAAAGGAUUGCGACCUCGAUGUUGGAUUAAGAGAUAAAUUUGGGCGUAGCCGUCAAUUUUAAAAUCUGUCCGACUU
rnacentral:rRNA from 1 species